GGGGCGAGCGUUGUCCGGAUUUAUUGGGCGUAAAGAGUUCGUAGGCUUUUUGGUAAGUUAUGUUUCAAAGACCGGGGCUUAACCUCGGAGAGGGGCAUAAUACUGCCAGAAUUGAAGGAUGUCGGGGCUACUGGAAUUGUCGGUGUAGGGGUGAAAUCCGUUGAUAUUGACAAGAACACCAAGGGCGAAGGCGGGUAGCUAGACAUUUCUUGACGCUGGGGAACGAAAGCUAGGGUAGCGAAAGGGAUUAGAGACCCCUGUAGUCCUAGCCGUAAACGAUGCUCGCUAGGGAUGGGGAAUUUAUUUUUCCGUCUCGCAAGCUAACGCGUUAAGCGAGCCGCCUGGGGAGUACGGACGCAAGACUAAAACUCAAAGGAAUUGACGGGGACCUGCACAACCAGUGGAGCAUGUGGUUUAAUUCGAGACGAACCGAAGAACCUUACCUGGACUUGACAUACUAGUUGCACAUCUCUAGAGAUAGAGACUCUUUCGAAGGUACUAGAACAGGUGCUGCAUGGCUGUCGUCAGCUCGUGUCGUGAGGUGUUCCCUUCAGUGGGGUAACGAGCGCAACCCCCGCCGUAUGUUGAAUAUUCAUACGGGACUGCCCGAGUCAUUCUCGGGAGGAAGGCGGGGACGACGUCAAGUCAGCAUGGCCCUUAUGUCCAGGGCUACACACAUGCUGCAAUGGAGCCGACAAUGGGUUGCCAAGUGGUAACACGGAGCUAAUCCCAUCAAACGGCUUCUCAGUGGGGAUUGAGGGCUGCAAUUCGCCCUCAUGAACGUGGAAUUGGUAGUAAUCGCGGAUCAGCCAAGCCGCGGUGAAUACGUUCUCAGGUCUUGUACACACCGCCCGUCAAGUUAGUGAAGUUGGAAGCACCCGAACCUCGAUUGAAUCGGGGGAAGGUGAGACCAGCGACAAGAAUUAAGUCGUAACAAGGUAACCAAUCUCUAGA
rnacentral:rRNA from 1 species